rnacentral:rRNA from 1 species
UUCCUACGGGGGGCUGCAGUGAGGAAUAUUGCACAAUGGAGGAAACUCUGAUGCAGCAACGCCGCGUGGAGGAUGACGCAUUUCGGUGUGUAAACUCCUUUUAAGAGGGAAGAUUAUGACGGUACCUCUUGAAUAAGCACCGGCUAACUCCGUGCCAGCAGCCGCGGUAAUACGGAGGGUGCAAGCGUUACUCGGAAUCACUGGGCGUAAAGGGUGCGUAGGCUGACUUUUAAGUCAGGUGUGAAAUCCAAUGGCUUAACCAUUGAACGGCACUUGAAACUGGGAGUCUAGAGUUCGGAAGGGGCAGAUGGAAUUAGUGGUGUAGGGGUAAAAUCCGUAGAUAUCACUAGGAAUAUCAAAAGCGAAGGCGAUCUGCUGGGACGAUACUGACGCUGAGGCACGAAAGCGUGGGGAGCAAACAGGAUUAGAUACCCGGGUAGUCU